rnacentral:miRNA from 1 species
AAAUUUAAAAUUUAAAAAGGGCUUGGAAUGUAACUCAGUGGUAGAGCACUUCCUAGCAUAUGUGAGGCCUUGAGUUUAAUCCCAGUACCAUACACAAAAAGAAAAGUAGAAUAAA